UGUUUAAGUAAUUAUUUAGUAUAUUGAAAAUGAUUGUUUCAUGUUCCUUCUCCAAACAUGUAUAAAUCAUGUAGAACUAUUAUAUUCAGGACGGUGAACAAUUUGUUAGAUAAAUUCAUGCUGAGAAAACAUGAAAUUGUUAGGUUUUUUUUUUAAUCUCCGCCCAAUCUGAUUCUAAACACGUCAUUAAAAACUCAAACGAGGUUGAGAUGCUGCCUGGGCCCUGCCCUAGCGGUGACGCAACGCUUUUGAAAUUGCCUCAGCUUCAGCUAUGGUCGGCAAUCAGGCGAAGUAGAUCCAGAAAUUUUCUGUUUCUCUCCUGCUUGUACAAGAGGUCAUUUGUGGGAAGACAGUUGACAGUUGGAAGAAAAAAGAUGAUUCUAAGCACACUUAUGCCGUGAGUGCACACCCACCAUCUUUCCUUUCUCAUCUGCCUCGACAAGAGUAACUACAGAAUCGGCUGUGGAGGGAACAACGUUUACACUUCGGAGAUUAUUUGACGAUGGAAGGAUUUAUUGGCAAGGUGAAUGUGGCGUUGUAAGGGGCGCUCAUAGUCGUUCCAACAAGACACGAUUUGCUGACCCAUUAUAUGCGCAAACUCAGGACUUCGGUCGCCCUGCAAGGUGAAUGUGGCGUUGUAAGGGGCGCUCAUAGUCGUUCCAACAAGUCACGAUUUGCUGACCCAUUAUAUGCGCAAACUCGGGACUUUGGUCGCCCUGCAAGGUGAAUGUGGCGUUGUAAGGGGCGCUCAUAGUCGUUCCAACAAGGCAUUUUGCUGACAGCAAGGCGAUUUGCUGACCCAUUAGAAGCGCAAACUCGGGACUUUGGUCGCCCUGCAAGAUAAAUGCUGAAUUCAAGAGAAUAACUACAAUGCCCUUGCAGUCGAGAUUCCUGUCCCAGCUAGACAUAUUGUCUGACAAGCUGCUGAAGCUGUUCAAAAACAGAGGAGGACAGAUUGACAAACGCCUAGAGAACAUUUUGGCUUGCAUGACUGAGGAUGAUGUUGAUGGAGGACGUGAAUGCAUCCUGAAGGCGUUGUGUGUGUACCUCAAUGAAGACCCCAAAUGUCUACUUCGCGCGUUUGUGGUGAGUACAAGCAGUGUGCUGUGCAUGUCGCAAGGUGAUGAUGUUCUCUGUGCCCCUUCUCCGUCUCAGUCUUUUUCCCCUUUCUCUGUCUUUCUGUCCUCUCUCUCGCUCUUUCACUCUCUCUCCCCUCUCUCACACUUCACUAUUUCUGUCUCUCUUCUGCCACACUGUCUCUCUCUGUGCCCUCUCUCUCUCUAACCUCCAUAGCGCAGAGCCUA